UACGAAGGGGACUAGCGUUGUUCGGAUUUACUGGGCGUAAAGCGCGCGUAGGCGGAUCGCUAAGUCAGGGGUGAAAUCCCAGGGUUCAACCCUGGAACUGCCUUUGAUACUGACGGUCUGGAGAUCGGGAGAGGGAUGCGGAAUUCCAGGUGUAGCGGUGAAAUGCGUAGAUAUCUGGAGGAACACCGGUGGCGAAAGCGACUGUCUGGGGUGCUUGUGACGCUGAGGCGCGAAAGCCAGGGGAUCAAACGGG
rnacentral:rRNA from 1 species